GAGUUUGAUCCUGGCUCAGAACGAACGCUGGCGGCGUGCCUAACACAUGCAAGUUGAGCGGGAAAGUUUCCUUCGGGAAGCGAGUACAGCGGCGAACGGGUGAGUAACACGUAGGUAACCUACCCUGGAGACUGGGAUAACCCGUCGAAAGACGGGCUAAUACUAGAUAAGACCACGAGGGCCCCGGCCCUUGAGGUAAAAGGUGGCCUCUGCUUGCAAGCUACCACUCCUGGAUGGGCCUGCGCGCCAUUAGCUUGUUGGUGAGGUAACGGCCCACCAAGGCUGAGAUGACUAGCUGGUCUGAGAGGAUGAUCAGCCACACUGGGACUGAGACACGGCCCAGACUCCUACGGGAGGCAGCAGUGGGGAAUAUUGCGCAAUGGGCGAAAGCCUGACGCAGCGACGCCGCGUGGGUGAUGAAGGCCUUCGGGUCGUAAAGCUCUGUCAGGAGGGACGAAAUCUCGUCGGCCGAAUACGUCGGCGACUUGACGGUACCUCCAAAGGAAGCACCGGCUAACUCCGUGCCAGCAGCCGCGGUAAUACGGAGGGUGCAAGCGUUGUUCGGAAUCACUGGGCGUAAAGAGCGUGUAGGCGGCCAUUUAAGUCCGAUGUGAAAGCCCGGGGCUCAACCCCGGAAGUGCAUUGGAUACUGAGUGGCUAGAGUUCGGUAGAGGAGGGCGGAAUUCCUGGUGUAGCGGUGAAAUGCGUAGAUAUCAGGAGGAACACCGGUGGCGAAGGCGGCCCUCUGGUCCGAUACUGACGCUGAUGUGCGAAAGCGUGGGGAGCAAACAGGAUUAGAUACCCUGGUAGUCCACGCCGUAAACGAUGAGUACUAGGUGUUGGAGGUAUUGACCCCUUCAGUGCCGCAGCUAACGCAUUAAGUACUCCGCCUGGGAACUACGGCCGCAAGGCUGAAACUCAAAGGAAUUGACGGGGGCCCGCACAAGCGGUGGAGCAUGUUGUUUAAUUCGAGGCAACGCGAAGAACCUUACCCAGAUUUAACAUACAGUGAAUUUUUCAGAGAUGAAGAAGUGCCGUCGGGAACACGGUGACAGGUGCUGCAUGGCUGUCGUCAGCUCGUGUCGUGAGAUGUUGGGUUAAGUCCCGUAACGAGCGCAACCCUUGUCUUUAGUUGCCAGCGAGUAAUGGCGGGGACUCUAGUGAGACUGCCGGUGACAAACCGGAGGAAGGCGGGGACGACGUCAAGUCAUCAUGGCCCUUACGGGUAGGGCUACACACGUGCUACAAUGGCCGGUACAGAGGGCAGCGAAGGGGUGACCUGGAGCGAAUCUUUUAAAGCCGGUCGUAGUCCGGAUUGAAGUCUGCAACUCGACUUCAUGAAGUCGGAAUCGCUAGUAAUCGCGAAUCAGCAUGUCGCGGUGAAUACGUUCCCGGGCCUUGUACACAC
rnacentral:rRNA from 1 species